GUAGGUGGCAAGCGUUGUCCGGAAUUAUUGGGCGUAAAGCGCGCGCAGGCGGUUCUUUAAGUCUGAUGUGAAAGCCCACGGCUCAACCGUGGAGGGUCAUUGGAAACUGGAGAACUUGAGUACAGAAGAGGAAAGCGGAAUUCCACGUGUAGCGGUGAAAUGCGUAGAGAUGUGGAGGAACACCAGUGGCGAAGGCGGCUUUCUGGUCUGUAACUGACGCUGAGGCGCGAAAGCGUGGGGAGCAAACAGGGAUUAGAUACCCUGGUAGUCCACGCCGUAAACGAUGAGUGCUAAGUGUUAGGGGGUUUCCCGCCCCUUAGUGCUGCAGCUAACGCAUUAAGCACUCCGCCUGGGGAGUACGCCGCAAGGCUGA
rnacentral:rRNA from 1 species